UACCAGCACCCCGAGUGGUCGGGACGUUUAUUGGGCCUAAAGCAUCCGUAGCCGGUUCUACAAGUCUUCCGUUAAAUCCAGCUGCUUAACAGAUGGGCUGCGGAAGAUACUAUGGAGCUAGGAGGCGGGAGGGGCAAGCGGUACUCGAUGGGUAGGGGGUAAAAUCCGUUGAUCCAUUGAAGACCACCAGUGGCGAAGGCGGCUUGCCAGAACGCGCUCGACGGUGAGGGAUGAAAGCUGGGGGGAGCAAACCGG
rnacentral:rRNA from 1 species